rnacentral:rRNA from 1 species
UACGUAGGGUGCAGGCGUUAAUCGGAAUUACUGGGCGUAAAGCGUGCGCAGGCGGUUUUGUAAGUCUGUCGUGAAAGCCCCGGGCUCAACCUGGGAAUUGCGAUGGAGACUGCAAGGCUUGAAUCUGGCAGAGGGGGGUAGAAUUCCACGUGUAGCAGUGAAAUGCGUAGAGAUGUGGAGGAACACCGAUGGCGAAGGCAGCCCCCUGGGUCAAGAUUGACGCUCAUGCACGAAAGCGUGGGGAGCAAACAGG